rnacentral:misc_RNA from 1 species
ACAAACUUGGUCAUUUAGAGGAAGUAAAAGUCGUAACAAGGUCUCCGUAGGUGAACCUGCGGAGGGAUCAUUACAAGAAGAUACCCGCGCAAGCGGCCACUUCAACCCUCUGUGCAUCGACCAUGUUGCUUCGGGGGCCUCCGUCCACCUGUGGGACGGGGCCUCCGGUGGCCUCAUCGAAACUCGUCGUAACCUUUCGUCUGAGUCAAAAGUAAAUAUAAACAAAACUUUCAACAACGGAUCUCUUGGUUCUGGCAUCGAUGAAGAACGCAGC